UCGCUACCUCUACCCUGGAGGGGUUGACAUUAAGUAAGCUCAUUAAUUUUAUCAUAUCAUCUCGGAUUUUCUUCUUUUUCUGAUAACCUGGUUACAAAUUAAAACCUGGUUACAAAUAAAAAAACCUGGUUACAUGAUAAUGAAAAUUAAAUAAAGAUUACCUACAAAACAUGAAUAGGAUCUUGGAUCUUCAAUAACGUGAUUAGUUGAUCUAAUCUACCUGUGUAUCAUCUGGGAUAUAUUCUGAGUGGUUAAAUUUUUAUGUGCAGGUAUGUAGCAGUAGGGAAUGAACCAUUUCUGGCAGCAUACGAUGGGAUGAAUUUGAACACUACAUUUCCCGCUCUAUGCAAUAUACGGAAAUCAUUGAUCGACGCCGGAAUCGGAGACAUAGUAAAAGUCACUGUUCCAUUCAAUGCUGAUGUGUACGGAUCACCAAUAGAAAAUCCUGUACCAUCUGCCGGAAGAUUCCAGCCGGAAAUAGCCGAUCUGAUGACAGAUAUCUCACGAUAUCUGUACAAACACAACUCACCAUUUUUAGUUAACAUCUAUCCGUUUUUGAGUCUCUAUUACAACAGAGAAUUCCCCGUCGAUUUUGCAUUCUUUGAUGGCACAGAAAAUCCAGUCUUCGAUGCCAAAACUAAGAUUAACUACACCAAUGUUCUCGAUGCCAAUUUCGACACUUUGAUAUCAGCUCUGAAACGGAUUGGGUUGGGGAAAAUGGAUGUUAUGAUCGGUGAAAUUGGGUGGCCAACAGAUGGAGAUAUCAAUGCCAAUGUGUUGCUUGCUAAAAGAUUCUACCAAGGUCUGUUCAAACAACUUGCCGUCGACCAAGGCACACCUCUCCGACCGAACAAGUAUAUAGAGACCUAUUUAUUCGGCUUAAUAGAUGAAAAUAAAAAGAGUAUAGCACCUGGAAACUUCGAACGACAUUGGGGGAUAUUCACUUAUGAUGGGCAGCCAAAGUUUCAAAUGGAUAUAUCCGGUGAAGGUCUGAACACGACUCUAAUCGGAGCCAAGGAAGUCAAAUACUUGCGUAACAUGUGGUGUGUGUUGAAUCCUAAAGUUAAAUAUCAAAUUGAAAAUCAGGGAGUCAAUAAAUUAGGAGACAACAUUAAAUACGCAUGUCAGACCUCCGACUGCACUGCACUUGGUUAUGGCUCGAGUUGUCACGGUAUCGAUGUGGAAGGGAAUGCUUCUUAUGCUUUCAAUAUGUAUUUUCAAGUGCACAAUCAAGCAGAGAAGAGUUG
rnacentral:lncRNA from 1 species